GCUAAACGCGAAGAACCUUACCCACCUUUGACAUGGCAGGAAUCCUUCAGAGAUGGAGGAGUGCUCGAAAGAGAACCUGCACACAGGUGCUGCAUGGCUGUCGUCAGCUCGUGUCGUGAGAUGUUGGGUUAAGUCCCGCAACGAGCGCAACCCUUGCCAUCAGUUGCUACGAAAGGGCACUCUGAUGGGACUGCCGGUGACAAACCGGAGGAAGGUGGGGAUGACGUCAAGUCCUCAUGGCCCUUAUGUGUAGGGCUUCACACGUCAUACAAUGGUCGGUACAGAGGGUCGCCAACCCGCGAGGGGGAGCCAAUCCCAGAAAACCGAUCGUAGUCCGGAUUGCAGUCUGCAACUCGACUGCAUGAAGUCGGAAUCGCUAGUAAUCGCGGAUCAGCAUGUCGCGGUGAAUACGUUCCCGGGUCUUGUACACACCG
rnacentral:rRNA from 1 species